rnacentral:rRNA from 1 species
AAUCAACGCUGGCGGCGUGCCUAACACAUGCAAGUCGAGCGAGAAAGGGGACUUCGGUCCCUGAGUAGAGCGGCGGACGGGUGAGUAACACGUGGGUAAUCUGCCCUCGGGUGGGGAAUAACUCAGGGAAACCUGGGCUAAUUCCGCAUGAUAUUCCGGUACACAAGUACUGGUAAUCAAAGUUGGGGACCCUUCGGGGCCUGACGCCUGGGGAGGAGCCCGCGGCCAAUUAGCUUGAUGGUGAGGUAACGGCUCACCAUGGCUCCGAUUGGUAGCCGGCCUGAGAGGGCGGACGGUCACACUGGGACUGAGACACGGCCCAGACUCCUACGGGAGGCAGCAGUGGGGAAUUUUUGUCAAUGGGGGAAACCCUGAACAAGCAACGCCGCGUGAAGGACGAAGACCUUCGGGUUGUAAACUUCUGUCGGAGGGGACGAAGGCAUCAUUGGUUAAUACCCAGUGGUGUUGACGGUACCCUACGAGGAAGCCCCGGCUAACUCCGUG